ACAGCAGGGUUAGUGUAUAUCACUAUUUAGCUAUGAUUGAUGCUUUUUGUUGAAAGUUCCCAGCAACAUUAAUUGGGGAAGAUCGACAGUUGAGUUUGUUCAUAUCUAUUGAUACAUCAACAAUCAUCUCCUUUUACAU